AGUAAAAUGGCUGAAUUUAAUAGGCAAUAAAUUGUAAAUUUAUUUAUAGGUAAUAUUACCUUUUUGCUA
rnacentral:tRNA from 1 species